UCUUAUGUACAUGCCUACAACGUUAAUGCGCGAUCAUAAUAGAACUCCACAAUUAAGUGUGCUUGGGCUAGAUUAGUACUAAAAUGGGUGGUCUCUCAAUAAGUCCUAGUGUUUUACAUGCA
rnacentral:rRNA from 1 species